CUUUGAAUAUGGAGAAGACUGCAAAAGUGAUUGCAAAAACAAAUGUGGGGGAAAAGAUUGUUUUGAGCAUAGAUUUGGAGAGUGUAAAAAAUGUCCUUUAAACAAAUGGGGGCAACAUUGUGCUGAGAGCUGCAUCAACUGUAAAGAUGACUGUGAUAAGAGUUACGGAACCUGCAAAUUCUGCAAAGCUGGGUUUAAGAACCCGAAAAAUGGUUGUAAUGUUUCUUGUAGUGCUAAUGAGUUUGGGGAAGACUGCAAAGGGAAUUGCCAACAGAAAUGUGGAAAAGAUUGUUUUGAGAGAGCCUUUGGUUCAUGCAGUGAAUCAGGGUCAUGGGAAGAAUGGCACUGCAGUCGUAUAUGUUCAGACCGAUUUCAACACCGUAACAG
rnacentral:sRNA from 1 species